GGGCAGUUACCGAAGCGGCCAAACGGGUCAGACUGUAAAUCUGAUGGCUUACGCCUUCCGUGGUUCAAAUCCACGACUGCCCACCA
rnacentral:tRNA from 1 species